rnacentral:lncRNA from 1 species
AGUCAGCAGUGGAGGGUCCCCCCCGCCCGUCCUCUCCUCCCCUGCCGGAGUACAAGGAGACGGCCGUCUUCCUCCUCUCCUCGCGCCGGCCUCUCACCUCCUCCUCCUCCUCCUCUCGUCCCCUGUCCUCCUCCUCUUCGUCAGGAGUAGGGGGCUGCGAGGGCGGGGCUGGGGGCCCCCACUGGGAGGAUGAAAGCACCAGCAGUGAGAGCAAGUCCAGUUCAUCUGGAGGCCGCUACAGGCCGACCUGGAGGCCCAGGAGAGAGGCCCUGAACAUAGACAGCAUCUUCAACCGCCAGCGAGGCUCCUCUCUGGGCUACAACACGCUGCCUGGUCCCUCUCUCCCGCCGGAGCCCCAGGACUCCCUCCCCGCCCCGGGACCCGCUCCACCCACACAGCCAGGCCUGCAAGAGGUGGAAGGGAGGGAGAUCGGGGAGUUGGAGGCGGGGUUUGGGCUGGUCGGGCAGCCCAGGUCUCUGGGCGGCGGGCGGACGAUGGGCCCCCCUGCCCCUCCGCCUCUGAGAGGGGUGGAGCACCAGCCACGUCUGAUCCAGAGGAUGGAGAGUGGCUACGAGAGCAGCGAGAGGAACAGCAGCAGUCCCGACAGGGAGGUGGGGCAACAGAAACGGGUGCUCAUGUCUGGACCUUCCUGGCGUUCGGUGCCCAAGUCGAAGAGCACCGGUGCCAUCCUGCAGGAGCUGCCUUCACCCAGCUGGGUCAGCAGCGCCAACACAGGUGUGCAUUUGUGCGUGUAUCUGCUGUAAUGUGCAUGUGGUUUGACUGAUCCCACACAUUGUUCUUCAUCCCCUAUGUGUGUGUGUGUGUGUGUGUGUGUGUGUGUGUGUGUGUGUGCGUGUUCAGGCUCAGGGCGCAGUGAGCUGGACGAGCUGCAGGAGGAGGUGGCGAGGAGAGCCCGCCAGCAGGAGCAGCAGAAGCGGAGGGAGGCGGAGCGGGAGGCAGCAAUGGGAUUCAACCCCAGACCCAGCAAAUUCAUGGACCUGGACCAGCUCCAACACCAGGUGAACAGCCUGGCCCGGUCCAAGUACUGCUGACGCCCAAUCAGGAGGAGGAAGAGGACCAGGCAGUGCCCAACCAGGAUGCUGCUCUGGGCCCGGACCCGCCCCCUCCACCCUAUCGGCCCGCUCCCCCCCGACCCCCACUCAGCCUCAGCAUCGCUCACCCUUGUGCCCCUUCCAGCCGAGGGGAGGAGGAGGAGGAGGAGGUCGGAUGUGUGGGGAGGAGAAGGGAGGAAGGUGAAGAUGGGAGGGAGGGGACCGGGGUGAGGCUGUGUGAGUUGCUGCAGGCAGGGGGGGUGAGUGUCAGACCUCUGGGGAAGCACCUAGCCAUCUCUCUGCCCUCGCUUCCUCUGCGUCUCUGGGAUACACACAUCACACACACCGCACACUCCACACACCUUGAGCCCACACACACACCCCCUACCCCUCUGCCCUCUACUCCUCCCCCAUCCUCCCCACUGGAAGCCUCUGGGCAAAGGAAACCUCUAGCGCCUCUCUGGCAGCCCCCCCGGCCCCAUUCCCCCACUGUCGCCACCCAGCACUGGCUGAGGCACGGGGACGCGUCCGACGGCGGCACACGUCAUUGGUCCUCCUGGAGUUUGGACCGCCCUGACGCCGUGGUGAUGCCAUACAGCACGCCCCCAGACUACUGCGCUCCCAUCAGGCCGCGGGCGUCCAGCCAGAACUACAGCUACAGUUGCCAGUACUCUCCAGGGCACCGCAGCUCCCAGCAUGCCCCAGGGCAACACAGUGACCCCCGCUAUGACCGCGAGGAGGCUGAGCUGUCUGAGCUUGACUCCCUUUUCCAGGCCAGUCUGCAGGCUGGAAAGACAGGCUGCAGCCCGUCAGAGAGGCUCAUAUCCAGGGUGGGAGGGCAGGGUCGCUCUAAGACCCCCAACGCAGACAUGGAGAGGAGUGUGUAUGGGGCUGAUGGCACCAGCACCCCCACCUACCUCAACAAGCCAGCGAUGGUGCGGGAUCUGCGUUUUGGGGCGGAGCCCGGCGACGGGGAAAACCUGCGGCGAAUUGGCCGCAGCCUGAGCGGCACAGUGGUGACCUCGCGCCGCGGCCGCCUCACUGCAACCCGCAGCUUUGAGCUGUCGGGCAAUGCUGGGAGUUUCUGGCUGUGUCUGACGGGGGUCAAGCUGUCCUCCGACCAGAGUCCUGCUCUGCUUCACUAACGUCUCGCCGUGUCAACACUGCCACGCGGGGGCGGCGGCGGCGGCGGUGCCGCGGUCCUUUUCGACGGCCUCGCCUGCGACGGACCUGGCAUCGGGAGGAUCAAAAACUCAGCUGCGAUCCCGUUCUUUCUCCUUCCCCCCCGUCAAACGACAUGCACACGCAUACACAUGCACGCACACACACGCACAUCGGCACUGACGUAGAGCCUCCCUCAGCGCCUGCAGCACCCUGCUUUGCCUCACCUUGCCCCCCCCCUUCAACCUACUAUUCUGUCUAUGCAGUCACUCUGACCCCCAACUACAACCUCAAGCUUCUCCCCUACUUCCCGGGACUGUUGUUUCUCGUCUCCCCCUGGGUUUCUCAGAGGGAAUCCCUGUGCAGUCAGCCUGGCGCGCAUGCCGCUUCCUGUGGCGUGGUCAGUUUUGCGUUGGUUUGGGCACCGGCCCGGGUCUGACUGGGACCCGAGCUCUCGGCUGACUCGCCCCUCCAUCCCGCGGGACCCUCCGCUCAGGGGGAGGCUCUUACCAAGUAGCCAGGCCCUCUUCCUCUUUCUUCACGGGCAUUUCCUGUUGGACGCACACGUAGCCGAACUGGGUCUGUUUUAAGAUGGACAGCCAUAUUCUUUUCUCUCUUUUGAUUUAGGGUUUGUCUGUUUGUUUUGUUUUUUUCUUCCUGUGUGCGCGCACAGUAGACCCGCCCGAGACCGAACUCUCUAUUAACUAAAAGUCAUGUACAGAAAAACUCAUGUAUGAAACCUGUAUGUUAAUUAAUAAGACCUUAUGGAAUGUUGAUAAUGAUAAUUAACAAUUAUUGAUAAACUUAAAGUGGUACUUCCUCAUGUCUGCAUUUCAAAUACGAGUGGAGUGCACUUCACAAGUGUCUAGCUGGAGUUACCACCCCUCCUACCCAAACCGCUCGCCGACCUAAUGACAGCUCUCCCGUUUCUACCGGGAGAUUAAACAAGAAAAGCGCUUCCUUUUUCUCUGCGUCUUUCCUCUCCUCCUUUCCUUUCUUGCUCUCUUUUAUUCUCGCUUGCUUUCUUCCCUCCGGACAGGUUAAAAAAAAAAACGGUAGCACCGGAAACAGGCCAGCAAGGGGGGGAAAGUCGAGAAGGAAUGGGAGAAUGUAGCUUUAGGGAAUCCCUUCUCUUGGGCUUUAUCAGUGAGCAGAGAGACGACUCAAGUGCGCUUUGUAAGAUUACUUGGCAGAAGAAGUGCACUUUCCGAAGGCUGUUUGACCAAGAAGCAGGUGGAGCGACGUCAGUGGUGUUUGUUUAACUUAAAAAGGCCUCAGGUGAACUUCAGUGGCACUUAUGAAUUCACACUUUAUUAUUUCUCUCACCCACUGAAACUGUUUUUUUGAGAUCUCAGCUGUGAAUAGAAAAAAAGAAAGAAGCUCAUCUUCAGCCUGAGACAGUGACAUGUCAAAUAUGAGUAUACUUUAUAUGAUAUGUAUGUAUUAGAGGUAUAUUUUCAGCCAGUGAGCUAUCUUCUUUAGAGAUGUCAACCAUUCCUCAGUUGUAUGAAGAGUUAUUAUACAGUAAUGAACAGAUUUAACUUAAUUCACCCCCCUUUACUGAGUAGCAUUCUGACAUGUGUAGAGUACAUUUAUUAUAUGCUUUAUUCUAUUAAAUAUCAUAAAAAAAUUACAACGUCCUUAUUAUAAAACUGGCCAAUGUAAAGUUCUUUAAGAAUUUACUGAUGUUGACCGAUCGUUGUGACUAAACCAAAGGUUGGCACUUAACUCAGAGAGCUUAUUUAACAUCGUCGUUUCUGGGUUUUUUUCCCCAUUUAGGUUCAGAUUUUGUUGAUGUAGGUUUGUUUGUCUGUUAGUUUGUUUGUUGUUUGGGGUUUUGGAUGUGGGAGAAUGUAGCCAAUUGUAGCGCAUGAGUCCGCUAUGCAAAUGAACCUUCCCUCCUGUAUCAGAGACGAGUCAGGAGGCAGACACACCCACCCACGGGCGCUCUCAUGGACUCUGGGCGGCGACGCGGGGGAGAGGGGGGAGAGAAUCUCAUGUUUAAUGCUGCUGGUGAACUUUGUUGUUCUGCAUCUACUGCUAUGUUUCAUCCAAUGGAAUGCAAAAAAGAGGGCAACACGGAGGGAGAGAGUGGGAUGGAGAAAGAGAGCGAAUGAAUGUAAACUAAAGGAUGAAAGUGUGAGAUUUUUUGGGUUUUUUUGGCGAAUGACAUGAGCCCGAGAGGGGUGGAGACUGGGCGAACGGCCGAAGGUGGUUUAUUGUUUGUGGGUGUGUGUAGAUUAAUGUGUGUCAGUUCUGGGGUGUUGUUGCUCGGGGAAAGAGGGAACCUGUAUUUUUGCAAUAAAGUUAUUACCAAUGCACUCCCACAGGGGGCGUAACCACCGUAACAUGUCUGUGUCCUCUUUUGCUUUUGGAAAGAUCAGGUGUAAAAAAAAAAACGUAACUCCCUGUCUGUUUCUGAAAUCUUCAAACAACUGGAAAACCAAAUCCACUGUAGGUAUCUGUAAUGUUUGUAUAAGUACCUGUAAUGUACUGGUAAAAGUAACUGUAAUGUUUGUUACAUAUCUGCAUCUAACCAAAGAAACAUUGGAAUAUAUUCUAAUUUCGUGAA